AAUAUUUGACAAUGGGCGAAAGCCUGAUCCAGCCAUGACGCGUGUGUGAAGAAGGUCUUCGGAUUGUACAGCACUUUAAGUUGGGAGGAAGGGCAGUAAGUUAAUACCUUGCUGUUUUGACGUUACCGACAGAAUAAGCACCGGCUAACUUCUUGCCAGAAACCGAGGUAUGACGAAGGGUGCAAGCGUUAAUCGGAAUUACUGGUCGUAAAGCGCGCGUAGGUGGUUUGUUAAGUUGGAAGUGAAAGCCCCGGGCUUAACCUGGGAACUGCUUUCAUAACUGCUGAGCUAGAGUACGGUAGAGGGUAGUGGAAUUUCAUGUGUAGCGGUGAAAUGCGUAGAUAUAGGAAGGAACACAAGUGGCGAGGGCGACUAACUGGACUGAUACUGACACUGAGGUGCGAAAGCGUGGGGAGCAAACAG
rnacentral:rRNA from 1 species